UACGUAGGGUGCGAGCGUUGUCCGGAUUUAUUGGGCGUAAAGAGCUCGUAGGCGGUUUGUCGCGUCGGCCGUGAAAUCUCCACGCUUAACGUGGAGCGUGCGGUCGAUACGGGCAGACUUGAGUUCGGUAGGGGAGACUGGAAUUCCUGGUGUAGCGGUGAAAUGCGCAGAUAUCAGGAAGAACACCCGUGGCGAAGGCGGCUCACUGGCCCGGUACUGACGCUGAGGUGCGAAAGCGUGGGGAGCAAACAGG
rnacentral:rRNA from 1 species